rnacentral:lncRNA from 1 species
CUCCAGUUCUUCCCUCCCCAGCUCCCUCUCCACUCUCACAGCCGUGGGCAUCACUCCAAAGGAGUGCAGAGUCACUGAACCAAACAUAAACAUAGGAGCACAAAUGACCAGCCUCAGCAAAUCACUGAAAGGGGCAAGUCAAGCUUGAAGCCACAUGCCAAUGGAGCUGAAGGGGACUCAGGAGAUCAUACGGCUCAGUUCCCACUACCUUUCUGCACAGCAUUCAGCAUUUGAUGGCCUAGCAAGCAGGAGGCCCUGGCUUCCAUCACUAGCAUCGGAGGAAGGAGCAGGGAGUGCUUGAAGUUAAAGCCUACCAAGCCGAGAGAUGAGCCAACCUGGAGUCUGCCUGGCACUGUCAGAGGUCCUGAUCAUGCCUACCUGAUGAGGGGCAGCCACUCGAUGUUAAAGGAUCAGAACGCCUGGAUGAUGGGAGGGUAUGUAAGGUUCUUCCCCCACAUUGCUAACUAAGCGAGUCACCCCGGACUCUGAGUGUGUCCUCGAUGCCGCACUCCCGCAAGGGAGCCAUCAGGACCCCAGCAACAUACCACUACUUUACUUUUAAGUAUUUUGCUUCUUUGAAAUGGUCUUCCUAUGUAGCUCUGGCUGGCCUUGGACUACUACAUAGAUCAGGCUGGUCUUCACUCUGAUCCUCCUGCCCCUGCCUCCUGAGUCCUGGGAUUACUAGUGUGUCAUUACAUCUGACCUCAUGUUUACAAUUCCUUAAGUCUUAACGAAAUGUUCACUUAGUGCUUAAGAUGCACAGAUGUUGUUUAUAGCUUAGUGGCCACGCCCGAAUCUACUGCUAUUUAACUCCUGCCUGCAGUCCCACUCACUGCCUCUCAGCCAGUGCUCUGCCACUAAGGCCAGAGCCUGGCAGGAUUUCCCAUCCUGCAGGUGCCAGCUCUGUCACUGCCACCAGAUAUAGUUUUAACUAAGUCUCUAUCAUUCUAUCUACCAAUAAAGACUUGGAAGUCAGAUGCUGGGGUGAAAACCUGUUAGAUCAGAGAGGCUGAGAAGCAACCAGCUGACCUGUCUUUUUGGCUGGAGACCCAGCAAGAGAGUGCUUGUCUUCCCCAACCAAAAGGACCUAGAAUCUGGCUCCACCCUGAUCUGAGGUUAAUUUUAUUAACACAGUUGCAGAGUUUCAUGGUGC